rnacentral:rRNA from 1 species
AGUGAACGCUGGCGGCGUGCUUAACACAUGCAAGUCGAACGAGAACGGAUUAUAGCUUGCUAUAAUUGUCAGCUAAGUGGCGCACGGGUGAGUAAUGUAUAGAUAACCUGCCCUCUAGAAAGGAAUAACAGUUGGAAACGACUGCUAAUGCCCUAUAUGCCUUUAAUACAUAAGUAUGCAAGGGAAACGCUUUAGUGCUAGAGGAUGGGUCUGUAUGGUAUCAGCUUGUUGGUGAGGUAAUGGCUCACCAAGGCUAUGACGCCUAACUGGUUUGAGAGGAUGAUCAGUCACACUGGAACUGAGACACGGUCCAGACUCCUACGGGAGGCAGCAGUGGGGAAUAUUGCACAAUGGACGAAAGUCUGAUGCAGCAACGCCGCGUGGAGGAUGACACAUUUCGGUGCGUAAACUCCUUUUAUAUAGGAAGAUAAUGACGGUACUAUAUGAAUAAGCACCGGCUAACUCCG